rnacentral:rRNA from 1 species
CCUACGGGAGGCAGCAGUGGGGAAUAUUGGACAAUGGGGGUAACCCUGAUCCAGCCAUGCCGCGUGUGGGAAGAAGGCCCUCGGGGUGUAAAGCACUUUCAGUGAGGAAGAACGCCUGGUGGUUAAUACCCAUCAGGAAAGACAGCACUCACAGAAGAAGCACCGGCUAACUCCGUGCCAGCAGCCGCUGUAAUACGGAGGGUGCGAGCGUUAAUCGGAAUUACUGGGCGUAAAGCGCGCGUAGGUGGCUUGAUAAGCCGGUUGUGAAAGCCCCGGGCUCAACCUGGGAACGGCAUCCGGAACUGUCAAGCUAGAGUGCAGGAGAGGAAGGUAGAAUUCCCGGUGUAGCGGUGAAAUGCGUAGAGAUCGGGAGGAAUACCAGUGGCGAAGGCGGCCUUCUGGACUGAAACUGACGCUGAGGUGCGAAAGCGUGGGUAGCGAACAGGAUUAGAUACCCGAGUAGUC